rnacentral:rRNA from 1 species
UACGUAGGGGGCAAGCGUUGUCCGGAUUUAUUGGGCGUAAAGAGCGUGUAGGCGGCUAGGUAGGUCCGUUGUGAAAACUCGAGGCUCAACCUCGAGACGCCGGUGGAAACCAUCUAGCUAGAGUCCGGAAGAGGAGAGUGGAAUUCCUGGUGUAGCGGUGAAAUGCGCAGAUAUCAGGAGGAACACCGGUGGCGAAGGCGGUGGUCUGGGCCGGCACUGACGCUGAGGAGCGAAAGCGUGGGGAGCAAACAGG